ACAGCCUUGCGUUCGCUCCUUAUGGACCUAACUGGAGACAACUUAGAAAAGUAUGUGUCAUGGAGCUCCUAACUGCAAAGUAUGUUCAAAAGGCACAAGCUGAGGUGGAAUAAACUCAUCUUUAUGCUUGCAUUUCUUAUCAAAAGCUGCCCUGGCAGUUAUGCUAUUCAUCAUUGAGAAGAACAUUUUACUUGAUGGAAAAGGCACAAGCUGAGGUGAGAAAGGUACUUGAAGGGAAAAGUAAAAUGGCAGAAUCAGAACUUCAAAAGCUUACAUGAAAUUGGUUAUCAAAGCAACGGUGCAAAUGCAUCCACCUUUACCUUUGUUACUACCAAGAGAAGCUAAAGAAAAAUGUGAAAUUGGUGGCUAUGAAAUACAACCAAAAACUAAAGUCAUCAUCAAUGCAUGGGCAAUAGGUAGACAUCCAGAGCAGGGGGGAAAAUGCUGAAUGCUUUGAACCAGAAAAAUUUCAAGAUUCUGCGUUUGAUUUCAUAGGGACUAAUUUGAGUACAUACCAUUUGGAGCUGGCAGAAGGAUAUGUCCACAGAAAUUAUUUGGAAUUGUACAUGUUGAACUUCCACUUACCAAGCUGCUAUUUCAUUUUGACUGGAAACUCCCCCGAUGGAAUUUAACUUGACAUGACUGACACUUUUGGGGCAACAGUUGGGAGAAAGAAUGAUUUGUACUUGGUUGCAACACCUUAUAUUUCUAAAUCCUAAGAAUUACUGAUGCCCAAGUAUGCACAUGGAACUUCCUUUCAUUUUUUCCUCUGUUAUUUAUUACUGUUAUAUAACUGUCAGUCUGUAACACAAUGAAUAGCAACACUACACUUAGUAUUUAACAUUUCUUAUAGUCAAUAAUAUGCCCAAGUGUAAAAAAAAAAGCACUCUUAUCUAAGUGUCUGCAGUAGUAUAUGCUGGAAUACAGAAUAGGACCGAAGAUUACCAGUCCAUUUAUUCCCUGCUCCUAUAUGCUCGAUCUCAGGUUGAUACAUCUAAAACAACUUAAGAAAGGAAUAAUAACAAUAUUAAUACUUCUUGUUUCCCAAUCAACUGCAAGUUGCCCUUUAUUUGGAUAUACCUAUCUAGAACUGGAAACAUGCAAUAACCUAAAAUAAACAAGCAGCAUUGAGAGAGCAAAGAUCAGAUUUGCCAAGAAAGGGAAGCCGCAAACAAAAUCUAAGAUAAUAUGGAAAUUAUUGUAACCUUCUCUUGCCAAAACAGAGCACUUUGAAGAUUACUACAGAACUCUAAAUACAUUGCUCUUAGAAGCCCUUAUGAAAUAAAAUCUGAACUUCCCAAAAUACCAACAUUCGUAUAUGUAAUUGCUGAUAUUAAUCCUAGCAAAAUAAAUUAAGAUAGCAUAAAAAUGCUUUAAAAAGGUUAAAUCGUAAAAGUCUAUGAAAGCAUCUUCUGUCUAGAUCUCUAGUUUCCUUUCUAGACCUAUAAGCUUUAAACUUUAGCUUAUUUGUGCUAAUCAAACACAUGCUUCCUCUGUUAGUGAUCCCUUCGACAAUAUAAGAAUCCUCUGUGCUACUCUCCUUACUUAAAUUAGUUCAUUUAAAUUAGUUGUCAAACAUCAUAAGGAACUUGCCAAAGAGGAAGACACUAAAAUGAGCAAGGUCUGUUACAUUGUCAUUGUGAUUUACCGUGAUAUAAGUUCUUAGAAAAAUCUGCAAACUUUGACCAUAAGAAUAGGAUCCCUUCUCCAGAGGAUCCUACAAGGACAAUAUUCCUACAUUGCAGAUUCAAACAUUUAUAUCGUGUCCAUUUGCAAGUGAAACAUUACUUUGAUCACACCUGAUGCUGACAAAUGACAGUCAUCAUCCUAAUUCAUCACACAAACAAUUUUUUUUCCACAAACAAAUUCCUAUAAGAAUUCUAUAUGCAUUUUAUAGGCAUCAUCCUACUUGUGUGGCAAAGAUCGAUAUAUGCAAAGUAUACGACAUUGUGAGCUACAUAUGUUUAUGUGUCUGUUGUAAGUGGGGUUUGAAUGUUUUUAAUAUAGUUUCUUUGCUGGAGGACGAGCAAGAAGUUCAAGAUGACUUUGCAUAAGCUUCACCUUUUUUAUUUAUUUAUUUUAAAUAAACAUUAAUGCUAACUAAAUUCCAAAAAAAAAAAACUUUACUCAUGAGGUGGUGAAUAUUUCCCAAUACCAUAUAAUGUAAUAACAACUCAUUUCAUCAACAAAUGUGACACAUAAAUUGUACUAUACUGUGACUCAACGUAUGAAAGACCAAAAAAGAGUAAGAAGGAAAACUACAAAAGGGAACAUCUAGCUAAUAAAAACAAGGAUCAGAGAACCAAUACGAAAAUUUAUUGUCUCCUUUAUGCCUUACUUUCCGGUGAUAGCAAUUGUACACUGCUCUUUCAUUAUUUAAUUUGAUACAGCCAUAUCAAAUUGCAAGAAUAGCUAUCUAAUCUACCUUCAUUCUGUUCAGAAUACUCAUUUUACCCUAAUUACAAAAGCAUUAUCAGUAAUUACGUCCAAAAAAACAUAAUGAUAAGCCAAAAUCUGCACAUGUAAGUUGAAACCUUGUACUAAAGAUGAAAACUUUGCCAACUGCCCCAUCUUCCUACUACCCAAAUGUCAUACACAACAAUUAGCAGGAACCCAUAUACCAUAUAAAAACAAGAAGCUUUUACAUAUACACCCACAGGAAAUAACCAUAAACAAAAAAAAACGCUAAAACUUGAGAAACACACCGUGAAUCGGAGAAUGAAGAAAAAAAUUUGGACCAUUUCUCGAUUUGUGCGUGUCAUCCUUGCGCAGGGGCCAUGCUAAUCUUCUCUGUAUCGUUCCAAUUUUAUCGGAUGUCCCCGAAGGGACGAGCUAGC
rnacentral:lncRNA from 1 species